AACGAACGCUGGCGGCAGGCCUAACACAUGCAAGUCGAACGCCCUAGCAAUAGGGAGUGGCAGACGGGUGAGUAACACGUGGGAACGUUCCUUUCGGUUCGGAAUAACCCAGGGAAACUUGGACUAAUACCGGAUACGUGCGAGAGCAGAAAGAUUUAUCGCCGAAAGAUCGGGCCCGNGUCCGAUUAGCUAGUUGGUGAGGUAACGGCUCACCAAGGCGACGAUCGGUAGCUGGUCNGAGAGGAUGAUCAGCCACACUGGGACUGAGACACGGCCCGGACU
rnacentral:rRNA from 1 species